UACGUAAGUGGCGAGCGUUAUCCGGAAUCACUGGGCGUAAAGAGUGCGUAGGCGGCGUGGUUAGUUGGAAUUGAAAUCCCGGGGCUCAACUCCGGACCCGGUUCCAAAACUGCCAUGCUAGAGCAGAUCAGAGGACAGCGGAAUUCCCGGUGUAGCGGUAAUAUGCGUAGAUAUCGGGAGGAACACCAGUGGCGUAGGCGGCGCUCUGGAACGUUUCUGACGCUGAGGCUCGAAAGCGUGGGGAGCAAACAGG
rnacentral:rRNA from 1 species